rnacentral:rRNA from 1 species
UCAGCACUAAGUCACUUUGUCUUUAUGGCAAAUGUGAGAUGCAGUGUAUGGAAUGUUCAAUUUCUAGUAUGAAAAAUUAACGAUUUAAGUCCUUCUUAAAUGAGGCCAUUUACCCAUAGAGGGUGCCAGGCCCGUAUAACGUUAAUGAUUACUAGAGAACAUUUCCAAAGAGUCGUGUUGCUUGAUAGUGCAGCACUAAGUGGGUGGUAAACUCCAUCUAAAACUAAAUAUAACCAUGAGACCGAUAGUAAACAAGUACCGUGAGGGAAAGUUGAAAAGAACUCUGAAUAGAGAGUUAAAUAGUACGUGAAACUGCUUAGAGGUUAAGCCCGAUGAACCUGAAUAUCCAUUAUGGAAAAUUCAUCGUUAUGAAUAUGAUAUUAAUAAUAUUGUAGGAAUAGCGUGCAUUUUUUCCAUAUAAGGACAUUGUAAUCUAUUAACAUAUACAAUUUAUCAUAAGAUCAAUGGCUUAAGUUUAUUCAAAUUAUUUUGCUUGCAAUUUAACAUAGAAUAAAUGCUUUUGAUUUGAUAAAGUGUUGAUAGAUUUAUUAUAUAUAGUGCUUAAAUAUUUAUAUUUUAUAAUAGCAUAAUAAUCAUUGAUUUUUGUGUUUAUUAUAUGCACUUAUAUGAUUAACAAUGCGAAAGAUUCAGGAUACCUUCGGGACCCGUCUUGAAACACGGACCAAGGAGUCUAACAUAUUUGCAAGUUAUUGGGAAUUAAAAAACCUAAUAGCGAAAUUAACAUAACUUUUAUGGGAUUAGUUUUUAUUCUAUUUAUAGUUUAUUAA